rnacentral:tRNA from 1 species
GAGCCAUUAGCUCAGUUGGUAGAGCAUCUGACUUUUAAUCAGAGGGUCGAAGGUUCGAGGCCUUCAUGGCUCACCA